CCUUAGAGUUUGAUCCUGGCUCAGGACGAACGCUGGCGGCGUGCUUAACACAUGCAAGUCGAACGAGAAUCUGUGGAAAGAGGAUUCGUCCAAUUGAAGCAGAGGACAGUGGCGGACGGGUGAGUAACGCGCGAGGAACCUGCCUUUCAGAGGGGGACAACAGUUGGAAACGACUGCUAAUACCGCAUGACGCAUUGAGGUCGCAUGGCCUUAAUGUCAAAGAUUUAUCGCUGAAAGAUGGCCUCGCGUCUGAUUCGCUAGUUGGUGAGGUAACGGCUCACCAAGGCGACGAUCAGUAGCCGGACUGAGAGGUUGAACGGCCACAUUGGGACUGAGAUACGGCCCAGACUCCUACGGGAGGCAGCAGUGGGGAAUAUUGGGCAAUGGGCGCAAGCCUGACCCAGCAACGCCGCGUGAAGGAAGAAGGCUUUCGGGUUGUAAACUUCUUUUGUCAGGGACGAGUAGAAGACGGUACCUGACGAAUAAGCCACGGCUAACUACGUGCCAGCAGCCGCGGUAAUACGUAGGUGGCAAGCGUUGUCCGGAUUUACUGGGUGUAAAGGGCGUGUAGCCGGGAGGGCAAGUCAGAUGUGAAAUCCACGGGCUUAACUCGUGAACUGCAUUUGAAACUGUUCUUCUUGAGUAUCGGAGAGGCAAUCGGAAUUCCUAGUGUAGCGGUGAAAUGCGUAGAUAUUAGGAGGAACACCAGUGGCGAAGGCGGAUUGCUGGACGACAACUGACGGUGAGGCGCGAAAGCGUGGGGAGCAAACAGGAUUAGAUACCCUGGUAGUCCACGCUGUAAACGAUGAAUACUAGGUGUGCGGGGACUGACCCCCUGCGUGCCGCAGUUAACACAAUAAGUAUUCCACCUGGGGAGUACGAUCGCAAGGUUGAAACUC
rnacentral:rRNA from 1 species